UUUAUAUAGUAUAAAACCUAUUACAAUUAAUUUCCAAUUAAAAAAUUUAAAUAAAAUUAAUAUAAAUAA
rnacentral:tRNA from 1 species